GCAUAACGCGAAGAACCUUACCUACACUUGACAUGCCUCUUGGGACUUUCAGAGAUGAUUGUUUUCGGUUCGGCCGGGGAGUGCACAGGUGCUGCAUGGCUGUCGUCAGCUCGUGUCGUGAGAUGUUGGGUUAAGUCCCGCAACGAGCGCAACCCUUAUCGUAUGUUGCCAGCAUUUAGUUGGGCACUCAUGCGAGACUGCCGGUGAUAAGCCGGAGGAAGGCGGGGACGACGUCAAGUCAUCAUGGCCCUUACGUGUAGGGCUACAAACGUGCUACAAUGGCGUUAACAAUGGGCAGCGAGGCAGUGAUGCCAAGCUAAUCCUUAAAUAACGUCUCAGUUCGGAUUGUACUCUGCAACUCGAGUACAUGAAGUUGGAAUCGCUAGUAAUCGCAAAUCAGCAUGUUGCGG
rnacentral:rRNA from 1 species